AUUGAACGCUGGCGGAAUGCUUUACACAUGCAAGUCGAACGGCAGCACGGGGCAACCUGGUGGCGAGUGGCGAACGGGUGAGUAAUGCAUCGGAACGUGCCAUUGAGUGGGGGAUAACGUAGCGAAAGUUGCGCUAAUACCGCAUAUUCUGUGAGCAGGAAAGCAGGGGACCGCAAGGCCUUGCGCUCUUUGAGCGGCCGAUGGCAGAUUAGGUAGUUGGUGGGGUAAAGGCUCACCAAGGCGACGAUCUGUAGCGGGUCUGAGAGGAUGAUCCGCCACACUGGAACUGAGACACGGUCCAGACUCCUACGGGAGGCAGCAGUGGGGAAUUUUGGACAAUGGGCGCAGGCCUGAUCCAGCCAUGCCGCGUGAGUGAAGAAGG
rnacentral:rRNA from 1 species